rnacentral:rRNA from 1 species
AUUGAACGCUGGCGGCAUGCCUUACACAUGCAAGUCGAACGGCAGCACGGGAGCAAUCCUGGUGGCGAGUGGCGAACGGGUGAGUAAAGUAUCGGAACGUGCCCAGUCGUGGGGGAUAACGUAGCGAAAGUUACGCUAAUACCGCAUACGAUCUAUGGAUGAAAGCGGGGGAUCGCAAGACCUCGCGCGAUUGGAGCGGCCGAUAUCAGAUUAGGUAGUUGGUGGGGUAAAGGCUCACCAAGCCGACGAUCUGUACCUGGUCUGAUAGGACGACCAGCCACACUGGGACUGAGACACGGCCCAGACUCCUACGGGAGGCAGCAGUGGUGAAUUUUGGACAAUGGGGGAAAGCCUGAUCCAGCCAUGCCGCGUGCAUGAUGAAGGCCUUCGGGUUGUAAACUGCUUUUGUACGGAACGAAAAGGUUUGGCCUAAUAAGCUGAGCUCAUGACGGUACCGUAAGAAUAAGCACCGGCUAACUACGUGCCAGCAGCCGCCGCGG